AAAUAAUUAGUCUCAAUGUCCAUGUUGCUAGUUCUAGAGUGCUAGGUUGAAUGAUCUCUACUUAAAAACUUUAGCCAUCUUCUUCACAACACAACCUAACCUUUAACUCGGAUUUCGGUGAGUCCUCGAAAUAAAAAUCGGAUGAUGUCAGAAAGAAUUUUUAUCCAAACAUUAAUUGGUCGUGUCUUAGCAGACGAUAUAUAUAUAGGUUCCCGAUGUGUCGCCUUUCGAAAUCAAGAUCUUGGGAUUGGACUUGUCAAUCGAUUAAUAACCUUUGGAACACAAUCAAUAUCCAAGAUGUACUCCGACUAGUCUAUUCAAGCAUUCAAAUCAGCAUAUUCCCUUUAACAUUCAUUAAGCAAGAACAAUGGAUCAUACUACACAAUGCAUAUUAAACUCAUUUGGCUAAGCGUAAAGGGUCAAGAGACAAAAAUGGUCCCUUAAAGAAUAGGCUUUAGUAACAAGGGAUCUCUCAAGAAUGAUUAAGCUUUAGUAUAACGCUAAAGGUAAGUCCCAAGUUAUGCAUACAAAGAUAAGAUCCCAUCUACCCAAAGUAUAAUCAAUGAAGACCUAAUGGCAAUCCCAUCUCCCAUCCCAAUUAAGAACUUAACUCUACCCUUUUGCAUUCAUGAUCUUUUAAACUCUUUCUUAACCCAUUCUUUUCUUUUUCUCUUAACUCUAGGAGAAGCUUUUCUUUUCUCUUUGAUACUUCUAGCGGGUUU
rnacentral:sRNA from 1 species